rnacentral:lncRNA from 1 species
UCUAACUUGCGCAGUAAUAGAUCUAAUCUAUUGUUUAAUACAUACAUUAGAUGUAGUAUAGAAACAUGUUGAUAUGAUCAACAUGUAGCUCAUGCUUUAUAUAUUUUAAUUUCUGAUUUAAUGCUAUAUAAUAAUCAUAUAAUAGGAUCUUAGAUCUAGAAAUUCUCUAAUUUUAGAAAAUAAAUUUUGAUUUAUUUUAGUCUUCCGCUGCC